rnacentral:snRNA from 1 species
UGGGCGAGAGUAGUACUAGG